rnacentral:rRNA from 1 species
GAUGAACGCUGGCGGCGUGCCUAAUACAUGCAAGUCGAGCGAACGGACGAGAAGCUUGCUUCUCUGAUGUUAGCGGCGGACGGGUGAGUAACACGUGGAUAACCUACCUAUAAGACUGGGAUAACUUCGGGAAACCGGAGCUAAUACCGGAUAAUAUUUUGAACCGCAGGGUUCAAAAGUGAAAGACGGUCUUGCUGUCACUUAUAGAUGGAUCCGCGCUGCAUUAGCUAGUUGGUAAGGUAACGGCUUACCAAGGCAACGAUGCAUAGCCGACCUGAGAGGGUGAUCGGCCACACUGGAACUGAGCCACGGUCCAGACUCCUACGGGAGGCAGCAGUAGGGAAUCUUCCGCAAUGGGCGAAAGCCUGACGGAGCAACGCCGCGUGAGUGAUGAAGGUCUUCGGAUCGUAAAACUCUGUUAUUAGGGAAGAACAUAUGUGUAAGUAACUGUGCACAUCUUGACGGUACCUAAUCAGAAAGCCACGGCUAACUACGUG